rnacentral:rRNA from 1 species
CCCUUAGAUGCUCUGGGCCGCACGCGCGCUAAACUGGUCGAUGCAACGAGUUUCUUUCCUUGGCCGACAGGCCUGGGCAAUCUUUGAACAUCGAUCGUGAUCGGGAUAGAUUCUUGUAAUUUUUGAUCUUAAACGAGGAAUUCCUAGUAAACGCAAGUCAUCAGCUUGCAUUGAUUACGUCCCUGCCCUUUGUACACACCGCCCGUCGCACCUACCGAUUGAAUGGUCCGGUGAAAUCUCGGGACGGCGGCUUGGUCGCUUGCGUCCGACUGCUGAAACUUGAUUAAACCAUAUCAUUUAGAGGAAGGUGAAGUCGUAACA